CGAGCGGAAACGACACUAACAAUCCUUCGGGUGCGUUAAUGGGCGUCGAGCGGCGGACGGGUGAGUAAUGCCUAGGAAAUUGCCUUGAUGUGGGGGAUAACCAUUGGAAACGAUGGCUAAUACCGCAUAAUGCCUACGGGCCAAAGAGGGGGACCUUCGGGCCUCUCGCGUCAAGAUAUGCCUAGGUGGGAUUAGCUAGUUGGUGAGGUAAUGGCUCACCAAGGCGACGAUCCCUAGCUGGUCUGAGAGGAUGAUCAGCCACACUGGAACUGAGACACGGUCCAGACUCCUACGGGAGGCAGCAGUGGGGAAUAUUGCACAAUGGGCGAAAGCCUGAUGCAGCCAUGCCGCGUGUAUGAAGAAGGCCUUCGGGUUGUGAAGUACUUUCAGUUGUGAGGAAGGGUGUGUAGUUAAUAGCUGCGCAUCUUGACGUUAGCAACAGAAGAAGCACCGGCUAACUCCGUGCCAGCAGCCGCGGUAAUACGGAGGGUGCGAGCGUUAAUCGGAAUUACUG
rnacentral:rRNA from 1 species